rnacentral:rRNA from 1 species
UACGAGAGGUCCAAACGUUAUUCGGAAUCACUGGGCUUACAGAGUUCGUAGGCGGUCCAGAAAGUGGGGUGUGAAAUCCCUCGGCUUAACCGGGGAACUGCGUCUGAUACUGGAUGGCUCGAGUUCGGGAGAGGGAUGCGGAAUUCCAGGUGUAGCGGUGAAAUGCGUAGAUAUCUGGAGGAACACCGGUGGCGAAGGCGGCAUCCUGGACCGACACUGACACUGAGGAGCGAAAGCCAGGGGAGCAAACGGG